GACGAACGCUGGCGGCGUGCUUAACACAUGCAAGUCGAGCGGUAAGGCCCUUUCGGGGGUACACGAGCGGCGAACGGGUGAGUAACACGUGGGUGACCUGCCCUCAGCUCUGGGAUAAGCCUGGGAAACUGGGUCUAAUACCGGAUAUGACUCCAUGACGCAUGUUGUGGGGUGGAAAGCCUUGUGCGGCUGAGGAUGGGCCCGCGGCCUAUCAGCUUGUUGGUGGGGUGANGGCCUACCAAGGCGACGACGGGUAGCCGGCCUGAGAGGGCGACCGGCCACACUGGGACUGAGACACGGCCCAGACUCCUACGGGAGGCAGCAGUGGGGAAUCUUGCGCAAUGGGCGAAAGCCUGACGCAGCGACGCCGCGUGAGGGAUGACGGCCUCGGUGUAAC
rnacentral:rRNA from 1 species